rnacentral:rRNA from 1 species
GCCUACGGGGCGCAGCAGUGAGGAAUAUUGGUCAAUGGGCGCGAGCCUGAACCAGCCAAGUCGCGUGAGGGAGGACGGCCCUACGGGUUGUAAACCUCUUUUGCCGGGGAGCAACGGGCGUCACGUGUGGCGCCACUGAGAGUACCCGGAGAAAAAGCAUCGGCUAACUCCGUGCCAGCAGCCGCGGUAAUACGGAAGGUCCGGGCGUUAUCCGGAUUUAUUGGGUUUAAAGGGAGCGUAGGCCGGCUUUUAAGUCAGCUGUGAAAGUCGGCGGCUCAACCGUGGAAUUGCAGUUGAAACUGGAG